rnacentral:rRNA from 1 species
UACUAGCUCUCCGAGUGGUGUGGAUGUUUAUUGGGCCUAAAGCAUCCGUAGCUGGCUGGGCAAGUCCCCUGUUAAAUCCACUGAUUUAAUCAUUGGAGUGCGGGGGAUACUGCUCGGCUAGGGGACGGGAGAGGCAGACGGUAUUUUCGGGGUAGGGGUGAAAUCCUAUAAUCCCGGGAAGACCACCAGUGGCGAAGGCUGUCUGCUAGAACGCGCCCGACGGUGAGGGAUGAAAGCUGGGGGAGCGGACCGGAUUAGAUACCCGGGUAGUCCCAGCUGUAAACGAUGCAGGCUAGGUGUUUGGGCGGCCACGUGCCGCUCUAGUGCCGCAGGGAAGCCGUUAAGCCUGCCGCCUGGGGAGUACGGCCGCAAGGCUAGAAAACUUAAAGGAAUUGGGCGGGGAGCACCACGAAGGGGUGAAGCUUGCGGUUU